UACGUAGGGCGCAAGCGUUGUCCGGAAUUAUUGGGCGUAAAGAGCUCGUAGGUGGUCUGUUGCGUCCGCUGUGAAAACCUAAGGCUUAACCUUGGGCCUGCAGUGGAUACGGGCAGACUAGAGGUAGGUAGGGGAGAAUGGAAUUCCCGGUGUAGCGGUGAAAUGCGCAGAUAUCGGGAGGAACAACGGUGGCGAAGGCGGUUCUCUGGGCCUUACCUGACACUGAGGAGCGAAAGCGUGGGGAGCGAACAGG
rnacentral:rRNA from 1 species